CAUCAGCUAGUUUCUCCUGUUGAUUUAACUUGUUGUAGAGAUGGAACAUUGGCUGGGGAUUAUUCUUGCUGCUCUUUUCUUUGAGUGUAAAGGAGAAGACAGAGUGAUCCAGCCACCAGGAGAUGUCAUUACUACUGAAGGAGAGACACUUACUCUUGGCUGUACAUUUGAGACAACUAGAGCAAGUCCAACUUUGUUCUGGUACAAACAAGAAGAAAAUGAUUACCCAAAGAUGCUGCUGCAACGUUUCUCUGUAAAAACUGAUAAUUCUAAAGAGAAAGAGAGAGUUGAUGCUACAAUAAAGGAUGAGUCCUUUCCUCUGGAGAUCCAGAAGCUUCAGCUGUCUGACUCUGCUGUGUACUACUGUGCUCUGCAGCCCACAGUGACAGGAAACACCAAAACUCUGUACAAAAACCUUUGUUCAUUGGAAUUCGCUGGCACCACAGAUUACAAUGAUGUGUCGACAUGA